rnacentral:lncRNA from 1 species
CAGGUGCUUAAACAUUGACUUUGACGAUAAUGUCCUUCCCAACCAUAAGCUAUAUGUUAGUCAGCAGAUGGAAGCCAUGCUGCUAGCUAGGAAGGGACCAUUAAUAACUUCAUCAAUACCGGAUGUUUGUUUAUUCUUUGUAAAAAGAUAGCUUUUACCUUGAGUUCCUGGUCCAUCAUUUAGAGAGAUCAGUACCUUCUGGCUUGAAAACAAGAGGGCAGAUGACGUUUUAAUGAACUUCAAAAGUGACUAGCCAUUGACAGAUGUAUUAGUUCAUUAAAUAUGAUAGAAUAUUUCAAACUAGCAGAUAAUCAGUUGUUAUCAAGAGAAGUUUAAACUGUUUUUGUUUUUUUUACUAACAGGUUGCUAGUCAAACUGCGUGACUGAGAGAGGUGUUCCUAUGAGAGCUUUUACUGUGACACAGGUUGUCUUGUCUUUUCAGCAACCCAUCUCAAAAUGUGAUUCAUUAAGAAAUAGAAAGGCAUUAAGUCCUCAUCAGGAUGGUUGCUGAUAUUCACAAGUGUACAGUGAGAUGGUUCGUAGGCCUGGGACCUACUGUCACACAAAUUGGUGUUUCGAAAGUGCAUUUACAGGGUGAUCACAGGUGGAGUGUUUUAUUUGGCCUGUUUGUAGAAUUGAAGCCCCCGGCCCCCUGUGUUCUGUGCUGUUCUGUGGCCUGGCUGGUACACACUGUCACGAGUGAAGAAUGACUUUGGUUUGAGGUUUUGUUUUUGUGAUGGUUGGAAAAACAUGACUGGGGAAGUGUGUGGCUCAGAUAAUGGCCCCCAUCAGUCGGGGAGCCAUCUGUGGUGUGUGUCAUAGCCAGACGAGUCCUGGAGCAUGUGGGCAGUCCUGUACACAGUCAUUGAACAAUAAAGUGGUGGUUGUGUC